ACCCUCUCUUCAUUGAAAGGCCCAAGUAUUACACAGCUGGGCAGUUUCUUAACAGACCUAUAGCAGAGAAGGGGUUGGGAGAAAAGUUCCCAAAGAAUAGAGAAGUCUUAAAAAAAAAAACAAACUUCAAGAGUGGCACUAAAAUCUACUACAUUCAUAAAGAUAUUUACAACUCCCAAGUAAAAAGGCUACAUGUACUUACUGAACCGUGAGCAAAAGCUCCCACAACAAUAGUUACUGGCUCUGCUGUAGGAACCAGUUCACGCAGGUCUGUCACAUUUGGAACCGCAAAAGAGGUACCUAUCUUCAUACAGCCCACAGGUAGAUGGUCACUGACUGGGUUUUUAAUGACCUACAGGAAAGAAAAAUAUUAAUGACAGCGUAGAGGUAAGAGGCUCUGUCAGAUAGCUGAACCCACAAUAUACGCUGCACUUAAAGCAAACACAUUGCUAGCUGCAAAGAGGAAUCUUGCACCAUUACCUGUAAACAGUCAACGACUGCUUACCUUCAACAGUUUCUGAGGACCAUCAGCUGCUCGAACACUGAGCUUAUGCAGCAACUGAACUGACAAAAGAGAAGAACAUUAGUUAAGCAGUCUGUUCUCUUGCUGGAGGAAGCACAUUCUCUGCCUACUGGUGAGAGCUCAACUAGAAAAGAACUUUAGAGUUCCCAGUAUCCUCUAAAGAAGUUAAAAAAAAAAAAAAAAAACACUGAUCAGAGUUAUUUUGCCAUUAGCACAUUCUCAUGCAGGCAGCUCCCUACUGUACUAAGGAGUGUGUAUUUGUUGUAAGUGGCUGGGAAUUGACAAAAAGAAACUUUCAUUCCUCUCCUCUUUCCUCACUUUUUUGAGUCAGUCCAACUUUUUGACUUCUCCUGAAACUCUUUUGCUCCUGACCACCACCCUGCAUAAUUUUGUGGCCAGUACAAAGCAUGAGUCGCUUACCCAUAAGACCACAGAAUCGAUCAAAAGUUCUUGGGAUCCUGGUCUGAGGAUUAACUUCAAUUAAAACAUUCUUCUGGGUAUGGAUGUACACUUGCAGAAGGCCAGCCCGAUUCAGGGGGCUAUCCAUAAGCAUAAGAAGACUCUGGUGGGUGAUGUCGGGCCGCACCUCCCCGGGGUCCCGGCCGCUCCGCAGCAGCAGCGCCUUAUGCUUGUCGCAAUUGAGGAGCUCGAACGUCUUCCCCACCUUCACUGUCUCCAGGCUCGCCCCUUCCAGCACCACUAGAAGCCGCCGCUGCCCGCGGACGCGUUUAGCCUCCAACAGAUCACCAUCCUCCUGCUCCUUCUCCUCACGCGGUCGCCUGGGCGCCGCCAUUUUGUCAGCCC
rnacentral:lncRNA from 1 species